GGAGCAGCGAUUUGAGGACUUCGAGAAGCAACAGGGCGGCUGCUUCAAUUGCUUGGAAAAGGCAACCGUGGCGUUCGACGACUAGUAGCCUCAAAUCGAGGACGUCCGCCUUGAGGUCGGCAAGCUGGCGCGCUAUUGGGAUCGGUCGGUGCACGAGUUUGUCAUGGGGACCUCCGGUAUCCUUCCCAACCCCAAGUCGGCGUCGGGGCGCCCACCUGCUCCGGAUCUCAGCGCCAACAGCCCCGAUGGGCACUGCGUUGAUCGACACCACCGGGACGAUGGAUUUGGAUUGGUGUUCAUCCAAACCCAUCUCCUGGUCAAGAGUGUGUAUACUCAUUCCACUCCCCCUUCCCCUCGCCACCCUCGCUCUAGUUCACCUCCGAGUGAUUUCCGCCAUAAUCGUUCUCAAAGUAGUUUUUAUGAUAACCCCCUUAUUGGCAAGAUCCCUAAAAUAGAGUUCCAGCAGUUUUUUGUGACAAUCCCAAAGUCUGGU
rnacentral:lncRNA from 1 species